rnacentral:rRNA from 2 species
ACGCCCGGUUACAUUUCGAACCCGGAAGCUAAGCCUUACAGCGCCGAUGGUACUGCAGGGGGGACCCUGUGGGAGAGUAGGACGCCGCCGAAC